rnacentral:rRNA from 1 species
AGUAGCGGCGAGCGAAGCGGGAAGAGCCCGGUGUGAAAAUCUCUUCGGAGAAUUGUAUUUGAGUGUCCUUUGGGUGGUCAGUGCGAGCAAGUUGCUUGGGAUAGCACGCCAUGGAGGGUGAGAGCCCCGUCCAUCUCGCACAGGAUCCAUCCGCACAAGGGCGCUUCAACCGAGUCGGGUAGCUUGGGAAUGCUGCUCUAAUUGGUGGUAAAUCUCAUCAAAGGCUAAAUAACGGUGGGAGACCGAUAGCGAACAAGUACCGUGAGGGAAAGAUGGAAAGAACUUUGAAAAGAGAGUGAAAAGAACUUGAAACCGUCACGGGGGAAGCGGAUUGCGUGAGUGGUGGUGUCGCUUGUUCAGCGCUUUUUGCGUGCAUUCUGGCGAUACCUUGUCGUUGUGACUGGCUGGCUCGUGAUUUUGACGUACCGGCUGGUGAGGGCUCCCAUUCUUUGGUGAGGACGACGACAAAAUGACGCAAUACGACCCGUCUUGAAACACGGACCAAGGAGUCUAGCACGGCUGCGAGUCGAAGGGUGUAAAACCCAGGGGCGCAGUGAAAGCGAAUUCAAAGCAAAUUGGGGAGGCGUUGCGUUUUUAACUAAAUGUCCUACCUUGAGCAUUUGUGCUGGGACCCGAAAGAUGGUGAACUAUGCCGGAGUAGGGCAAAGCCAGAGGAAACUCUGGUGGAGGCUCGUAGCGAUGCUGACGUGCAAAUCGCUCGUCGAACUUGGGUAUAGGGGCGAAAGACUAAUCGAACCAUCUAGUAGCUGGUUCCCUCCGAAGUUUCUCUCAGGAUAGCGGGCCGACAUAUGUUGUUUUGUGCGGUAAAGCGAAUGAUUAGUGCAUUUGGGGUCUGAUAGACUUCGGGCGAUUCUCAAACUUUAAAUGCGCAAGGGGGUGGCUGCUUAAUUGAGCCUACUCUUUGAAAAACGUCGGCCCUGUGGGCCACUUUUGGUAAGCAGAACUGGCGAUAAGGGAUGAACCUUAAGCGCGGUUAAGGCGCCGCAUUGCCCGCUUAUAGACCCCACAAAAGGUGUUGAUUCAUUUAGACAGCAGGACGGUGGCCAUGGAAGUCGGAAUCCGCUAAGGAGUGUGUAACAACUCACCUGCCGAAUGAAUUAGCCCUGAAAAUGGAUGGCGCUGAAGCGGGCAGCCGACACCGCGCCGUUCCGGCGAGACGAUGCCGGGAUGAGUAGGAGGGCGUGGCGGUCAGUGACGCAGGCGAGGGUGCAGACCCCGCUGAAACGGCCGCUAGUGCAGAUCUUGGUGGUAGUAGCAAAUAUUCAAGCGAGAUCCUUGAAGGGCGAAGCGGGGAAGGGUUCCACGCAAACAUUGAUUGGGCGUGGGUGAGUCGUUCCUAAGCCGAGUGGCAAUUGCUAAGUAGCGGCGAAAGGGAAGCGGGUUAAAAUUCCCGCACACGGAUAUGGAGGCGGCGACGCAAGCAGAGGCAAAUACGCUGGCGAGGGCGCUGGGCAGAGUUGUCUUUUCUGUUUGACCGGCAUCGCGCUGUGUGGAAUCCGCUUAUCGGGAGAAACACGCGCG